rnacentral:pre_miRNA from 8 species
CAGCCAGCCCCAUCUGGAAGACUAGUGAUUUUGUUGUUGUCUCCUGCGCUCAACAACAAGUCCCAGUCUGCCGCAUGGUGCUGGCCA